AAAUUGAAGAGUUUGAUCAUGGCUCAGAUUGAACGCUGGCGGCAGGCCUAACACAUGCAAGUCGAGCGGUAGCACAGAGAGCUUGCUCUCGGGUGACGAGCGGCGGACGGGUGAGUAAUGUCUGGGAAACUGCCUGAUGGAGGGGGAUAACUACUGGAAACGGUAGCUAAUACCGCAUAAUGUCGCAAGACCAAAGUGGGGGACCUUCGGGCCUCAUGCCAUCAGAUGUGCCCAGAUGGGAUUAGCUAGUAGGUGGGGUAACGGCUCACCUAGGCGACGAUCCCUAGCUGGUCUGAGAGGAUGACCAGCCACACUGGAACUGAGACACGGUCCAGACUCCUACGGGAGGCAGCAGUGGGGAAUAUUGCACAAUGGGCGCAAGCCUGAUGCAGCCAUGCCGCGUGUGUGAAGAAGGCCUUCGGGUUGUAAAGCACUUUCAGCGGGGAGGAAGGCGUUAAGGUUAAUAACCUUGGCGAUUGACGUUACCCGCAGAAGAAGCACCGGCUAACUCCGUGCCAGCAGCCGCGGUAAUACGGAGGGUGCAAGCGUUAAUCGGAAUUACUGGGCGUAAAGCGCACGCAGGCGGUCUGUCAAGUCGGAUGUGAAAUCCCCGGGCUCAACCUGGGAACUGCAUUCGAAACUGGCAGGCUAGAGUCUUGUAGAGGGGGGUAGAAUUCCAGGUGUAGCG
rnacentral:ncRNA from 1 species